GAAUACACCAGGAUGUCAUCAGUAAAGACCACUACAAACCGAUCUAGAUAUGAAUGGAAGAUACAGUUCAUAAGGUCCAUAAAUGCUGCUGGUGCAUUUGUUAACUCAAACGGCAUCACUAAAAAUUCAUAAUGCCCAUACCGGGUUCUGAAUGCAGUUUUUGACACAUCUGCAUCCUUUACCCUUAACUGAUGAUACCCUGAUCUGAAAUCAAUUUUUGAAAAUACACCGGCUCCUUUCAACUAAUCAAACAGAUCAUCGAUUCUUGGCAAUGGAUAUUUGUUCUUCACAGUUACUUUAUUCAACUGUCGGUAAUCAAUACACAAUCUCAAGGUUCCAUCCUUUUUCUUCACAAAUAGCACUGGAGCUCCCCAUGGUGAC
rnacentral:misc_RNA from 1 species